rnacentral:rRNA from 1 species
GAUGAACGCUGGCGGCGUGCCUAAUACAUGCAAGUCGAGCGAACAGACGAGAAGCUUGCUUUUCUGAUGUUAGCGGCGGACGGGUGAGUAACACGUGGAUAACCUACCUAUAAGACUGGGAUAACUUCGGGAAACCGGAGCUAAUACCGGAUAAUAUUUUGAACCGCAUGGUUCAAAAGUGAAAGACGGUCUUGCUGUCACUUAUAGAUGGAUCCGCGCUGCAUUAGCUAGUUGGUAAGGUAACGGCUUACCAAGGCAACGAUGCAUAGCCGACCUGAGAGGGUGAUCGGCCACACUGGAACUGAGACACGGUCCAGACUCCUACGGGAGGCAGCAGUAGGGAAUCUUCCGCAAUGGGCGAAAGCCUGACGGAGCAACGCCGCGUGAGUGAUGAAGGUCUUCGGAUCGUAAAACUCUGUUAUUAGGGAAGAACAUAUGUGUAAGUAACUAUGCACAUCUUGACGGUACCUAAUCAGAAAGCCACGGCUAACUACGUG